CUUAGUGAAUAUAAGCAUACAAGUCAAAAAAACCUAAAAAUGAGAAAAGUCAAACAAAAUCUAAGAAUUUGUCACCUAAAUCUAUUAUUAAGCUAGGAAGAAUUGUAACGAACAAGAGUUAUUGAAACUUGAAGAUUUAUAAACCAAAAUAACUAUAAGCAACUAGGAUAUUUUAGGUUUCUUUCCCGACCGAAUCUCUAAUCUUCAUUAAUAGCAUAUUCAUUGACAAAGAAAAGAUAUUUUUAUUGAAACCCUUAUAUGUUAUUGAAGCAAUAAUCACAAGGAGAAGGACUUAGGAUUAUUCUCAAAGAUCAUUAAGGAAGAAAUAAUUAGUUUCAUCUGUGAUAUUGAAUAAAUUUCUGAUAACAAAACAUAGGAACAUCAAACCCUAGAUUCAGACAAAUCCAAUAAUGCAAUCAACCAAAAAAUAUGAAAAUGUGAGAGAAACAUCAAACCCUAGAUCCAGACAAAUCUAGUUAAUAAACAUUCACUACAUAUACACCCAAAUAGAAAUAUUUCAGUUUAUGUUUUCAAGAACAACAUUUAUUCUUUACAUGCUCACAUCUCAUAGGAAUUCACCUACUUAAUGCUUUCACAAACUUAUACCGACAUAGAUUUGGGUACAACAGACAACGGCCAGCAAGAGAAUUCCUAGUAAUUAUGCUUCUACACACACACAUACACACAGAGAGAGAGAGAGUAUGAAUUUAUUUUCGAACUAGAAAAGAAGAAGCAAAUCACAUGCUAAGAAAUGAUCAUACCCUGCUCUUCAAUCACCAUAUCUAAAGCAAAACAAAUUAUUUGAAAUUCCUUAAACUAGAUGCAAAUUUAGCAAAGAUUCUUCAUAUUGAGUGCACAAGUGAAGAAUCUUGACGAACUAGUGGAUAGACAGAUAGAUAUUAAUUUGCUUGAUCUAGCAAAAUAUCGGACCGACACGCUUCGAUUCCCCAGAGAGAGAAGGAGAAGAAGAAAUCCAUUGCAGACUCAUGACUCAAAGAAGAUCGGAAACAGAAAGUAGGGUUUCCUCUUCUUCAAUGAACCCAUCUUCAAUAUCUCCUGUUUUCUCUCUCCUUUUCUUCCUUUUUCUUGCUGUGAUCUUUGAUUUUGUAGAUGGGGUUUGUUGAUGGUAAAAGAAUGUCUUGUGGUGAUGACGAAAGUAUGGGACAAAUGAUGAAAUACAAAGUUUACAAGACAUGAUGAUUACUGCAGGUGUUUUGUUUUAAAAUAAGGGAAAAAUCCAAAGCAAAAAUUAAGGUAUAGAACUGCAAAUAAACUCAGAUAAAAUCUUGAUCUUCCCCUAAGGCUAUCGAGAGAGAGAGAGAGAGAGAGACCUAAUCAUAUAUUUCUUGAUCUUUAUGAAGUUUUAUAUGUUGUCCUAAUUAUAGUUUCUUUAGAUGUUAGGAAAAGAAUAUGAUUUACUUUGUAUUAAACUUUUCCUUAUUAUUAUUUUUUCUCUCUCCCCUUUUUCUACUAC
rnacentral:lncRNA from 1 species